GCUGGCGGCAGGCUUAACACAUGCAYGUCGAGCGGAAACGAUGGUAGCUUGCUACCAGGCGUCGAGCGGCGGACGGGUGAGUAAUACUUAGGAAUCUACCUAGUAGUGGGGGAUAGCUCGGGGAAACUCGAAUUAAUACCGCAUACGACCUACGGGAGAAAGGGGGCAGUUUACUGCUCUCGCUAUUAGAUGAGCCUAAGUCGGAUUAGCUAGAUGGUGGGGUAAAGGCCUACCAUGGCGACGAUCUGUAGCUGGUCUGAGAGGAUGAUCAGCCACACCGGGACUGAGACACGGCCCGGACUCCUACGGGAGGCAGCAGUGGGGAAUAUUGGACAAUGGGGGAAACCCUGAUCCAGCCAUGCCGCGUGUGUGAAGAAGGCCUUUUGGUUGUAAAGCACUUUAAGCAGUGAAGAAGACUCCGUGGUUAAUACCCACGGACGAUGACAUUAGCUGCAGAAUAAGCACCGGCUAACUCUGUGCCAGCAGCCGCGGUAAUACAGAGGGUGCAAGCGUUAAUCGGAAUUACUGGGCGUAAAGGGAGCGUAGGUGGCUCGAUAAGUCAGAUGUGAAAUCCCCGGGCUCAACC
rnacentral:rRNA from 1 species